UUUUUUUAUUUUUUUUUUUUUUUUACUUUUAUUCCAGCCAUCACUGGAGCAUUCUAUACUUGCUUCUUCAGCGCGUUGGCCUUGCUCUUUGCUGUUUGCAUGAAAGGAUUGUUAGCUACGCUAAAUUACGAAAAACCAAGAUGGAUUCUUGAAGAAAGUUUAAUAGGAACCAAUCCAGGUUUAGGAUUUCGACCUAUAUCCAAUAACGCCGAUGAACGAUCGUUAAUUUGGUACAGUUCAUCGGAUCCCAGCUCUGUACAAAAAUGGACAGGCUUGUUGGAUACAUUUUUAGAAGAAUAUAUUAAUUCAUCGUUGUUACCAAACGGUGGUAGAAAUCAACAAAUUUGUAAUUAUAACACACCGGUUAAACCAGGACACGUUUGCGCGGUUGAGGUGAACAACUGGGGCCCUUGCUCGCCCAAUCGUCAAUACGGUUUCAAUAAUUCUGCUCCUUGCGUCUUCAUUAAAUUAAAUAGAAUAUACGGUUGGAUACCAGAAUAUUACAACGACACCGAAAAUUUACCGAGCGAGAUGCCAUCUGAUCUCGUUGAACAUAUUAAAUCCACCAACAGUUCAUGGUUAAAUACCGUAUGGGUAUCCUGCAAAGGUGCAAAUCCUCAUGACAACGAGGAUAUCGGUGAAUUAAAUUAUUAUCCCGAAAGCCAUGGAUUUCCAGGAUAUUAUUAUCCAUAUCAAAAUUAUCCUGGCUAUUUAAGCCCUGUCGUUGCUGUCCAUUUUCUUCGGCCAGCAAGAAAUAAAAUAAUCAACGUCGAAUGUCGAGCCUGGGCAAAGAAUAUAAAAUAUAUGACGACUCAAAAUCAACAGCAUGGCAUGGUACAUUUUGAGCUUAUGAUCGAUGAAUGAUAGUUAUUGCAUUUCUAUGUAGAAAAAUAUAAACGUUGUACCUUCGGAUACAAAAAUAUCUGCAGAAUAAUGUGGACAACGGGAACGAAAGAUGUGGUCCAUAAAAAAUUAAAGACGUAAUAAGAUUAGACGUAAAAGUCAGAAAAUGCUGUUUACUCGAUCCAUUGAAUUCACCAUGAAACUAUUUCGAUUUCAUGAUUGUGUUUAUUGUUAAAUGUUGGCAAAAAUUACUGUAAAAUAAAAUAAUUAUUAAUCAUUGGCACAAUUAUUAUAAUUAUAAAAGUUAAAUAUAGAUAAGACAUCAUCGCUAAAUAAUAUUAAAAUAACAAUUACGUCUUGUUUACGUAUUCUAGGAGACAAAAAAUAUAUGUAUAGCUACUGGUACUUAUCACAAGCUAAUAUUUCAA